rnacentral:rRNA from 1 species
AAUGAACGCUGGCGGCGUGCCUAAUACAUGCAAGUCGAGCGAACAGACGAGGAGCUUGCUCCUCUGACGUUAGCGGCGGACGGGUGAGUAACACGUGGAUAACCUACCUAUAAGACUGGGAUAACUUCGGGAAACCGGAGCUAAUACCGGAUAAUAUAUUGAACCGCAUGGUUCAAUAGUGAAAGACGGUUUUGCUGUCACUUAUAGAUGGAUCCGCGCCGCAUUAGCUAGUUGGUAAGGUAACGGCUUACCAAGGCAACGAUGCGUAGCCGACCUGAGAGGGUGAUCGGCCACACUGGAACUGAGACACGGUCCAGACUCCUACGGGAGGCAGCAGUAGGGAAUCUUCCGCAAUGGGCGAAAGCUUGACGGAGCAACGCCGCGUGAGUGAUGAAGGUCUUCGGAUCGUAAAACUCUGUUAUUAGGGAAGAACAAAUGUGUAAGUAACUAUGCACGUCUUGACGGUACCUAAUCAGAAAGCCACGGCUAACUACGUG